rnacentral:rRNA from 1 species
CCUACGGGUGGCAGCAGUGAGGAAUAUUGGUCAAUGGACGAGAGUCUGAACCAGCCAAGUAGCGUGAAGGAUGACUGCCCUAUGGGUUGUAAACUUCUUUUAUAUGGGAAUAAAACGUUCCACGUGUGGGAUUUUGUAUGUACCAUAUGAAUAAGGAUCGGCUAACUCCGUGCCAGCAGCCGCGGUAAUACGGAGGAUCCGAGCGUUAUCCGGAUUUAUUGGGUUUAAAGGGAGCGUAGGUGGAUUGUUAAGUCAGUUGUGAAAGUUUGCGGCUCAACCGUAAAAUUGCAGUUGAAACUGGCAGUCUUGAGUACAGUAGAGGUGGGCGGAAUUCGUGGUGUAGCGGUGAAAUGCUUAGACAUCACGAAGAACUCCGAUUGCGAAGGCAGUUCACUGGACUGCAACUGACACUGAGGCUCGAAAGUGUGGGUAUCAAACAGGAUUAGAUACCCUAGUAGUC